rnacentral:misc_RNA from 1 species
CAACCCUCAAGCACUGCUUGGUAUUGGGCUCCGCUGGUUUCAGCGGGCCUUAAAAUCAGUGGCAGCGCCGUCUGAGCUCUGAGCGUAGUAAAUAUCCUCGCUAUAGAGACCAGGUAGCUCUCGUCAUCAACCCCCAACUUUCUAAGU